UGAGCAACGUCGUAUCGAAUUGGAAAACCGCUAUAAAUCAUUUCAUAUUCCUUAUGUUAUGCGUUAAUUUGAUAUCACUGAAAUAAAAAAAAUAUAUAUAUAUACAUGUUCUGGCGACAGUACUUUUCAUUUUCGUGCAUAAUCAGAGUCCUAACUAUAUGCAGUUUAUAUGGGUAAAUAUAUUUUAAUUUCUUUUUAAAAGGUAUACUUUAUAGAAAAAUAAUAAUAUUGUAUCAAAUACUAUAAAUAGUUGAUAUAGACGUCGUCGUCACUAAUGCACACACAUUAGCUGAGAAAAGCAAACAAAAAUUUCAAUUUUCUGAGCAGCUUAAUUAUAGACCAAUAACCAUGACCAGUUCUACAUGUCUUAAAAAAUAAAUGUUAAUGGAAAAAGUUCAUUAACAUUGAUGACCCUAGCAGUUACAGAAGUGAACACCAUAUUGAUGGUAUCAAUUGUCGAUGAAUAUAAAAAUAGAUUUUGUGAUCGGUAACAACCACCAGUAGACAGUUUUAGAAUUAUUACAACUCCCAUCUCUCUCUCUCUCUAUCUCUCUCUCUCUCUCUCUCUCUCUCUCUCUCUCUCUCUCAUAUUCCUUUCUCUAUUUUGUAGACAACUGUAUCAAGUGCCAGUGAGUUGGUACGACAUCGACAGGAAGCUAUACACUGUGAACAUUGGCAACACCGAACAUGUAAUUCAGGAAUCAGUAGACAACGGUAUCGGGAACUGGCUAGACAACAGGAGAGUUUUGAGUGGACAUGUGCUGACUGCAGCGGAACUACAGAUGUUAACUUUGAAACAAAUAAUAUUAAAUUUCACAUUUAACAUGCCUUAUACCACCUUCACACUCACGGAUUUUUCUUACGAGUCCUUACGGAUCUCCGACUCGUAGUCAAUCGCAAGCAUUCGUAAAUCACUCGUCGGUAUCCGUUAAUAACUCGUCACAACUCGCACACAUUCGUAGGGAUCCGUGAAAUUAGGGGCAAAUUUUUUGACAUGUCAAAAAAAAUUCACGAUUGUCCACGGAUUUCAUUUUUCGUAAAUAACCCGUAAAUAACUUGUAACAAUCCGUAAGUAUCCUAAACUGAUCACAAGAACACGUAAACUGCUCGUAAGAAUCCGUAAAACACUCGUAAAAAGUUUUUUUAACGAAUCUUUGCUGUUAGUUUACGAUAUGUUACGGAUAGUUUACGAGUUGUUUACGGAUUAUUACGAAUGCCUAUAAGUGAUAUUUACGAUUUCAUUCACGUCGGGUGAAUCGCUUUACGGAUUGUUCAGAGUCAUUACGAGCACUUUACGUAUAGACACGAUUACUCUACGAGUACAUACUUAAACUUUACGAUUAAAGAAAGGCAUAAAAGACGCAAAAUCUGACAGUUUCUUUCAGUUGUUAUCAAGACAUCAAAGAAGUAACACAUCUUGCAUACAAUAUACAUACAUGCUGUUACAAGUAAUGUCAGUUGUCGAAUGAUGAUACAAAGCCAAUUGCGAACACUUUUGAGUCAAAAACGUAAACAAUCGUUACUAACUCUUAACUAUUCGUAACAGCACAUUAUCAACACGUUAACAGGUGGUAAUUUACACGUAAAAGCAAAGUUAAAUCGUAAAUUUUCGUAAAAUACUCGUAACAAUCCCUAAAUCGUAAAUGUGUGCCGUAAAUGCAUCGCAAGAACUCGUAAUAAACCGUAAAUGACCCGUAAAUAUUCAUAAAUACUUUUAAAACGUUCCUAAACAACUUUUUAAAGUGUCUAAAUCGUAACAAUCCAUUUACUUUUACGGAUUUGUGGAAUACGUAAGGAUACGUAAGAAAAUUCCGUGAGUGUGAAGGUACCAUUAUCAUUGGUAUGCAAUAUCAUCUAGUGUUUUUUCUUUAUAUAUGUACUGUGUCAGUUGUGUAUUAGUUUUUGUGCUAAUAUACUGGAUCAUCUGUAUUGUAAUAAAAAUAUAGUACAGAAUUGAAAUUGAACAGUGUUCCUUGCUUUAAUGUGAAACUUAAACGGUACCAAUUUUUAUGCACCAGAUUCGCAUUUCAACAAAUAAUGUCAAUAAUGUCCCUUCAGUAAUGCUGAAGCCUAAAACGUUGGGAAUCCGAAAUGAUAAUAAACUUUGAAGAGUUGGAGAAAAAAGAUCGAGUGCCAAUAAAUGGAGUCAAAUUCACCCAAAGAUCAGAGCUAUGCGAGAGAGAGAGAGA